CUGAACAGUCCCUUAGCAUCUGAGACUAACUGUCAGUGUUGCCAAGGUCCUGCCAAGUAAGUGACAGCAUGCUGGUGACAUCACAAGUGUUGCUUGGCAGCCAUGCAAAUGAGCAGGUUUCUCACUCCCCAUUGGCUGGGCCACUCCUCAUCCCCACUAGAAGGCUGAGAUGUACUUUAACAUGUGUAUUAUUGCUGCUCUCCCAACAGACUUUUUCCUCCAGUUUCUGAGGUGUAAGUCCUAGAGACCAGAAACGAUGAUGAAGAAAUCCAAAUUCAGAUUGGGAGGAGGACAAAGGAACUGCCUUAGAAAGAGAAAAAAGAAGACUUAAGUGGCAUCUGGAAAGCUCGUACCCACCACAGUACUCAACCAAUGAGGAACCGUAGUGAGGGACCUGUGUGCUAGGAAAGAAUUCCUUGCUGGGAGAGCCCUGGGUGGGCCUUGCCUGCGCAGCAGACUCCUAGCCUUGCAGGAUGGAUUAAAGCCACGCUGUCACUACUC